rnacentral:rRNA from 1 species
CAAGUCAGGGGGCGGGGUAACCCGUCACCGGCGAACGGGUGCGUAACACGUGAGCGACCUGCCCUGGUGUGGGGGAUAGCCGGCCCAACGGCCGGGUAAUACCGCAUACGGCACCCGCGAGGCAUCUCGGGGGUGCGAAACUAUUUAGGCGCCAGGAGGGGCUCGCGGCCUAUCAGCUAGUUGGCGAGGUAACGGCUCACCAAGGCGAUGACGGGUAGCUGGUCUGAGAGGAUGGCCAGCCACAUUGGGACUGAGAGACGGCCCAGACUCCUACGGGAGGCAGCAGUGGGGAAUCUUGCGCAAUGGCCGAAAGGCUGACGCAGCGACGCCGCGUGGGGGAUGAAGGUCUUCGGAUUGUAAACCCCUGUUGCCCGGGACGAACACCCCUUUUCGAGGGGGCUGACGGUACCGGGUGAGGAAGCACCGGCUAACUCUGUGCCAGCAGCCGCGGUAAUACAGAGGGUGCGAGCGUUGUCCGGAAUCACUGGGCGUAAAGGGCGCGUAGGCGGUCUCUUAAGCGUGUGGUGAAAGCCCGGGGCUCAACUCCGGGCCGGCCGUGCGAACUGGGGGACUGGAGCUUGUCAGAGGCAGGCGGAAUUCCGGGUGUAGCGGUGGAAUGCGUAGAGAUCCGGAAGAACACCGGUGGCGAAGGCGGCCUGCUGGGACAGUGCUGACGCUGAGGCGCGACAGCGUGGGGAGCAAACAGGAUUAGAUACCCUGGUAGUCCACGCCGUAAACGAUGGGCACUAGGUGCUUGGGGGAGCGACCCCCUGAGUGCCGGCGCUAACGCAUUAAGUGCCCCGCCUGGGGA